rnacentral:rRNA from 1 species
UGGGGAAUCUUCCGCAAUGGACGAAAGUCUGACGGAGCAACGCCGCGUGAACGAUGACGGCCUUCGGGUUGUAAAGUUCUGUUAUACGGGACGAAUGGUACGACGGUCAAUACCCGUCGUAAGUGACGGUACCGUAAGAGAAAGCCACGGCUAACUACGUGCCAGCAGCCGCGGUAAUACGUAGGUGGCAAGCGUUGUCCGGAAUUAUUGGGCGUAAAGGGCGCGCAGGCGGCGUCGUAAGUCGGUCUUAAAAGUGCGGGGCUUAACCCCGUGAGGGGACCGAAACUGCGAUGCUAGAGUAUCGGAGAGGAAAGCGGAAUUCCUAGUGUAGCGGUGAAAUGCGUAGAUAUUAGGAGGAACACCAGUGGCGAAAGCGGCUUUCUGGACGACAACUGACGCUGAGGCGCGAAAGCAUGGGCAGCAAACAGGAUUAGAUACCCUGGUAGUCCAUGCCGUAAACGAUGAUUGCUAGGUGUGGGGGGUCUGACCCCUUCCGUGCCGGAGUUAACACAAUAAGCAAUCCACCUGGGGAGUACGGCCGCAAGGUUG